CAGCGCCCGCCUCCACGUCCGGCCCGCCGCUCGCGCCGCUCAUCUCCGCGCAGCUCAAGUUCCUCCUCUCCAACCCCAGUCUCCCCGUCAAGCUAGGGCAGAUCUGGUCCGGCUGCCGGAACGGCCGCUACGCCGAUCGCUUCACCCUCGCCAUCCCCUUCUGCCUCGACUACGUCUACUGGGAUUUCCUCUAUAAUGCGCUGUACCCGAAGGUGGCGCCCGACGUGGUGUUCGGGCCGGGUGACGAAGACUUCCAGCCGCUGGUCGAUUAUGAUGACGCCGGGAAUGGGGACAAGAGCUGCUUGGCACGAUGGGAUAUCCGC